UACGUAGGGGGCGAGCGUUGUCCGGAAUCAUUGGGCGUAAAGGGUUCGCAGGCGGUUUAGCAAGUCCGAUGUCAAAUCUAAAGGCUCAACCUUUACCCGCAUUGGAAACUGUUAAACUUGAGUGAAGGAGAGGUAAGUGGAAUUCCUAGUGUAGCGGUGGAAUGCGUAGAUAUUAGGAGGAAUACCAGUGGCGAAGGCGACUUACUGGACUUCAACUGACGCUGAGGAACGAAAGCAUGGGUAGCAAACAGG
rnacentral:rRNA from 1 species